rnacentral:sRNA from 1 species
UUGAACACCUGCGUUGAAAGGAUGAGAACCUCCGAAGGAGGUUUGAACCGAGCGCAGCGAGAUCACGUUGCUUUAGCAACGGCCCGUAGGGCAAGCAUCGAAGAUGCGCGCAAUCCUCUCAUGCCGACCA